rnacentral:rRNA from 1 species
UGGGGAAUAUUGGACAAUGGGCGCAAGCCUGAUCCAGCAAUGCCGCGUGAAUGAUGAAGGCCUUAGGGUUGUAAAGUUCUUUUAGUGGGAAAGAAAUUGACGGUACCCACAGAAAAAGCUCCGGCUAACUCUGUGCCAGCAGCCGCGGUAAUACAGAGGGAGCUAGCGUUUUUCGGAAUUAUUGGGCGUAAAGAGCGCGUAGGCGGCCAAUUAAGUUGAAAGUGAAAUCCCAGAGCUUAACUCUGGAACUGCUUUCAAAACUAAUUGGCUCGAGUUUGGUAGAGGAUGAUGGAAUUCUUGGUGUAGGGGUAAAAUUCUUAGAUAUCAGGAGGAACACCGGUGGCGAAGGCGAUCAUCUGGGCCAUAACUGACGCUGAGGCGCGAAAGCGUGGGGAGCAAACA